rnacentral:rRNA from 1 species
GAUGAACGCUGGCGGCGUGCUUAACACAUGCAAGUCGAACGUGAGAAUAGCAAUAUUUGAAAGUGGCAAACGGGUGAGUAACACGUGGGAACCUGCCUCGAAGUGGGGGAUAACGAUUGGAAACGGUCGCUAAUACCGCACGGUUCUGCUCUGAUGGGAAUGGAGCAGAUAAAGAUUUAUCGCUUUGAGAGGGGCCCGCGGCCGAUUAGCUAGUUGGUAAGGUAAAGGCUUACCAAGGCGAUUAUCGGUAGCUGGUCUGAGAGGACGAUCAGCCACACGGGAACUGAGACACGGUCCCGACUCCUACGGGGGGCAGCAGUGAGGAAUAUUGGGCGAAUGGGCGAAAGACCUGACCCAGCAACGCCGCGUGGAGGAUGAAGGCUUUAGGGUUGUAAACUCCUUUUGUGGGGGAAAAGAAUGGAUGGUACCCCAAGAAUAAGUCACGGCUAACUACGUGCCAGCAGCCGCGGUAAGGCGUAUGUGU